UACGUAGGGGGCUAGCGUUGUCCGGAUUUAUUGGGCGUAAAGAGCGUGUAGGCGGCCAGGUAGGUCUGGUGUGAAAACUCGAGGCUUAACCUCGAGAUGUCAUCGGAAACCAUUUGGCUAGAGUUCCGGAAGAGGAGAGUGGAAUUCCUGGUGUAGCGGUGAAAUGCGCAGAUAUCAGGAAGAACACCAAUGGCGAAAGCAGCUCUCUGGGACGGUACUGACGCUGAGACGCGAAAGCGUGGGGAGCGAACAGG
rnacentral:rRNA from 1 species